rnacentral:rRNA from 1 species
AUGGGAUUGGCGGGAUGUACUCGUGGGCAAGCUAGCGGGUGCUUGGGAAAAUUUGUGUGUGUGUGUGUGUGUGUGUGUGUGUGUGUGUGUGUCGUCUGUCAUUCCCCUCCCGAUCCCCUUGGUCUCCCUCCUAUCCCACUCACGGUGGCGCCGCCGCCUCCACCCACCACACCGGCAACCUCCCCCACCGGCGAUCCCCUACAUCCGUCGCCCUCACCUUCUCUCUGGCCCAGUCCCAGAUCGACCCGACCCGCAGGUGAGCCGGCGGCCAGGACCCACGCGAAGCGACGCAGGUCGAUUUUCUCGCGCGCCACUGCCUCCUUCCUUCCUUCCUUCCUCUCUUGGGGCGCUCUACCUCUCUCUCGCUGCGCCUCCUCUGCUUCGACCUUCUCCAGGUGCCCGAGCCAUGGAGCUCAAUCGUCAAGGAGAAGAAAACCCUAUCUAGACCUGGAGGAGGAUGUGGUGGAUUGGGGAACCACCCGAGGAGGAAGGAAGGAAGGAACGUCACCAUGGACCUCGACGCCCUCAAUAGUGUUUUCUGGCAUGGAGAAGAAAACCCUAGCUAGACUAGCUGGAGGAGGAUGUGUUGGAUUGGAGAACCACCCGAGGAGGACGGAAGGAAGGAAGGAAGGAAGGAACGUCACCAUGGACCUCGACGCCCUCGAUAGUGUUUUCUGGCAUGGGGGAGAAAAGGAGGGAGAAUCCCAAACGAAACGACGCCCAACCAAAUCCUCCCUCCCUCCCAAGCCGCCGCCGAUGCCUCGGUCCUUCCUUUCAUUUCCUUUGCUGCAGGAGAAGAAAACCCUAGCUAGACUAGCUGGAGGAGGAUGUGUUGGAUUGGAGAACCACCCGAGGAGGACGGAAGGAAGGAAGGAAGGAAGGAACGUCACCAUGGACCUCGACGCCCUCGAUAGUGUUUUCUGGCAUGGGGGAGAAAAGGAGGGAGAAGCCCAAACGAAACGACGCCCAACCAAAUCCUCCCUCCCUCCCAAGCCGCCGCCGAUGCCUCGGUCCUUCCUUUCAUUUCCUUUGCUGCAGGAGAAGAAAACCCUAGCUAGACUAGCUGGAGGAGGAUGUGUUGGAUUGGAGAACCACCCGAGGAGGACGGAAGGAAGGAAGGAAGGAAGGAACGUCACCAUGGACCUCGAUGCCCUCGAUAGUGUUUUCUGGCAUGGGGGAGAAAAGGAGGGAGAAGCCCAAACGAAACGACGCCCAACCAAAUCCUCCCUCCCUCCCAAGCCGCCGCCGAUGCCUCGGUCCUUCCUUUCAUUUCCUUUGCGGCAGGAGAAGAAAACCCUAGCUAGACUAGCUGGAGGAGGAUGUGUUGGAUUGGAGAACCACCCAAGGAGGACGGAAGGAAGGAAGGAAGGAAGGAACGUCACCAUGGACCUCGACGCCCUCGAUAGUGUUUUCUGGCAUGGGGGAGAAAAGGAGGGAGAAGCCCAAACGAAACGACGCCCAACCAAAUCCUCCCUCCCUCCCAAGCCGCCGCCGAUGCCUCGGUCCUUCCUUUCAUUUCCUUUGCUGCAGGAGAAGAAAACCCUAGCUAGACUAGCUGGAGGAGGAUGUGUUGGAUUGGAGAACCACCCGAGGAGGACGGAAGGAAGGAAGGAAGGAAGGAACGUCACCAUGGACCUCGACGCCCUCGAUAGUGUUUUCUGGCAUGGGGGAGAAAAGGAGGGAGAAGCCCAAACGAAACGACGCCCAACCAAAUCCUCCCUCCCUCCCAAGCCGCUGCCGAUGCCUCGGUCCUUCCUUUCAUUUCCUUUGCUGCAGGAGAAGAAAACCCUAGCUAGACUAGCUGGAGGAGGAUGUGUUGGAUUGGAGAACCACCCGAGGAGGACGGAAGGAAGGAAGGAAGGAACGUCACCAUGGACCUCGACGCCCUCAAUAGUGUUUUCUGGCAUGGAGAAGAAAACCCUAGCUAGACUAGCUGGAGGAGGAUGUGUUGGAUUGGAGAACCACCCGAGGAGGACGGAAGGAAGGAAGGAAGGAAGGAACGUCACCAUGGACCUCGACGCCCUCGAUAGUGUUUUUUGGCUUGGAAAGGAUGGAUCCGCGGGAGGACUCGAUGGACCAAUCAACGAAGAUUCGGAUGUGUGGGUGUGGGCAGCGUCAUCCCAUCUCAUCUGCUUGUGUGAAGGACAGGGGCCCUGGAGGAGCUGCUCCCCUGCGGGUUCAGUGGCUGCUCCGACACUGACGGCAUGGAAGCAUGUUAUCAGAAUGGUAGCUUGUAUUGCUGCAGAGCCCAUUUCUAUCCUGGAAAGCAUGGAUUCUGAAGGCCAGCCUGGAACUCCUGAAGAAAAGAAACCUUUUCUUGUAGAUCUUGGAUUAGAAUCGUUUGUAGUCGGUGGGCUACUGAUGAGAGAUAUCAAGGAAUCUGUUUGCUCGGGCCUAGCCUGUGGAAUUCAUGGAAUCCGACAGGGCAAUCGUGAGCAUUUCUCUUGUGUUGGCAUUCCUAACAGCUUAAGCUGGCUUCUUUCUUCUUUUCUUGUAUUCAUGGAAGAUGUUUACCAGCUGCUCCUCUUUGAAGCCACUCUUUCUGAACAUACAACUGUACUGCCAUGGAUAUCUGCUUGCUUGACGUAG